rnacentral:misc_RNA from 1 species
AACGAGGCCGACCUGCGGCUGAGUUACCUGCGGAGGGAUCAUUAAAGAAAAUCAUUGAAAAGCUGGUUUUUUUUUUUCCAGCGAUUCAAUUUUUUUUAUAUUUACCCCCUUUGGCAGAGAUCUGAUCUCUGCCAGGGGAUAAACCCUAUCAAUACCCUGAUUGAUUGACUGAUCAUUUUACAAAUAAAAUUUUUUGAUACAACUUUUAACAAUGGAUCU